rnacentral:lncRNA from 1 species
GCCGCCCGGUGCAGGACUCCAGCCUUCGCCCUCACAGGCAGUGCCCACACGAGGGCAGCCACGCACCUGUGGUCCUGCAGAUACGAGAAGGGAGCCCGACGUCCAGGUGGCGAGCAGAGAGGACACAGCACAUCGAUGAAGCCCAUUUCAAGCCUGACUUCCCUUCCUGCCGAGUGCUUGGCCCACAGCCCAGGAACGUCUACCAGAUACAGCCUGACUCCCGGGUUGGAAGGGGCUCUUCCAUCGACUCCGCACCCUUGGGGGUGCAAGGUGUGUGUGUGUGUGCGUGUGUGUGCAUGAGUCCCUGUGUACGCAGUCGUGCACGCUCAACCAGGAGACAAGAUUUUAGCUCUUUUGAGGCUCCUGACGUGACACCUGCAGCCAGGUGAGAAUGUAGCAAACACGGCAUGAAAGGAAAGCAAAGUGCAUUUCUCAGGAGCUGAAGGGAGGGGCGACUGUGUCUGCAAAUGUCAGGUUCGUUUCAUGUUUGCGUCGAAGACGUGUUCAACUCUGGUGCAGACGUCUGGCACCAGACCAGGCUUGAUGCCCUAGGCUGAAAUCGGGGAGAGCUUACAGGAUCAGACAGACACGCUUCUCUUUAGCGGGUGCGGGGUUUCUGCUGGGCAGUGCACUAUUGCGCCGUUAACCCACACUCGUCCAGGAAGGACCCAUCCUUUCUGUGGUCAUGAAAGCCGCAGUUACUCACUCGGACAAGAUACAGGCCGAGUCCGCUGCUCCUCUGGCUGAGGCUGCUGCUGGGGUUUGCGGAUCGAGUCUGAAAUCUUGUUUCAUGCUCCGUGCAUAGUUUUGCUUCUUUCCAAUGACUCCAUUCUCUUGGCACUUUUUAUGCUCAGAACCAAGUGGCAAACAAUAGUCUUGAGCUAAUGAAAGCGUCCGUGGAGCUAUGGAUGAACUCCCAGAUUGGAGCUGGGUGGCGUGUGUGACACAGGCGUCCAGAAACUCCGUAUGGGGAGGCACUGCGGGGCUACCUCCUUUGGGGCAGCCGCUGUCCCCACGUCUACUGCCCAGGAGUAGCAGCCGAGUGGGCUGCCCAUUCAGGAGCUAACGACCCAAAUUCACAUCGGCCUGUGUUCAUGGGGAUCAUCGUGAUUUUGCAUGUGGUACACCUGUCCGGAGCACAACACAGGCCGUCCACACAUGCCAGACAGUCUUACCAGAGCUCUGUAAUCUGGAAAAGGGCACACUCUGUGGGACAGAGAAGCGUGGAGAUCCGGACCAGUGCUUACCAGGUUGUUGUUUAAAUGUAAAAGUACGGGGUACAAAUGGCUCAGUGACUGUUGUAACUAAUAUUCCAUGUGUCAGACUGCAUUUGUACCCUCGCCAUGUUCCUGAAAGCCCACAUGGCGCUGGGAUGCCAGCUCCUCUCUG